rnacentral:sRNA from 1 species
AAUUGGAAUUUGAUCGAGCUACUGCCAGCAUUGACUACUAAAAUUUUGUUGUCGUUCAUUUUUAUCUAAUAGGUAACAAUAAUAAAAUAUUAGUAAUAAGUCCUCAUUUUUUCUCUAAUAACUGUCAAUGAGUGCUAAAACUUCAUAUAUUGUGGCUGCUGUUUCGACAGCUGUAGGUAUUAUUCUCUACUUUAUCUCUUCCCUCAUGGGGGUAAUUGGUGUAAGUAAUGAUAAGACCUUAAUCAUUGUCUUUUUUGUACUAGCUUCAAUCAUCAUUAUUAACGCCUGUGUUUUUUGAAUUAUUUACCUGUUCAAAAAAAGAAACGUAGUCAAAUAAAAAAGUUUGGCGCUUUAAAUUCUCCUUAC